GGACCCGCACAAGUAGUGGAGCAUGUGGUUUAAUUCGAUGCAACGCGAAGAACCUUACCAGGGUUUGACAUCCUGCGAAUCUCUUGGAAACAGGAGAGUGCCUUCGGGAACGCAGUGACAGGUGGUGCAUGGCUGUCGUCAGCUCGUGUCGUGAGAUGUUGGUUAAGUCCCGCAACGAGCGCAACCCACGUCUUUAGUUGCCAUCAUUUAGUUGGGCACUCUAGAGAGACUGCCGGUGAUAAACCGGAGGAAGGUGUGGAUGACGUCAAGUCAUCAUGCCCCUUACAUCCUGGGCUACACACGUACUACAAUGCUACGGACAAAGGGCAGCAAGUUCGCGAGGACAAG
rnacentral:rRNA from 1 species